UGGGGAAUUUUGGGCAAUGGGCGAAAGCCUGACCCAGCAACGCCGCGUGAAGGAUGAAGUAUUUCGGUAUGUAAACUUCGAAAGAAUAGGAAGAAUAAAUGACGGUACUAUUUAUAAGGUCCGGCUAACUACGUGCCAGCAGCCGCGGUAAUACGUAGGGACCAAGCGUUGUUCGGAUUUACUGGGCGUAAAGGGCGCGUAGGCGGCAAUUCAAGUCAUCUGUGAAAUCUCCGGGCUUAACUCGGAACGGUCAGAUGAUACUGCUUUGCUAGAGUGCAGAAGGGGCAAUCGGAAUUCUUGGUGUAGCGGUGAAAUGCGUAGAUAUCAAGAGGAACACCUGAGGUGAAGACGGGUUGCUGGGCUGACACUGACGCUGAGGCGCGAAAGCCAGGGGAGCAAACGGGAUUAGAUACCCCGGUAGUCCCUGAGCGGGCUGGCAAGGCGCAU
rnacentral:rRNA from 1 species